rnacentral:rRNA from 1 species
CACCGCUACACCUGGAAUUCCACCCCCCUCUACCAUACUCAAGCCAAGCAGUAUCAAAUGCAGUUCCCAGGUUGAGCCCGGGGCUUUCACAUCUGACUUACCUCGCCGCCUACGUGCGCUUUACGCCCAGUGAUUCCGAUUAACGCUUGCACCCUCCGUAUUACCGCGGCUGCUGGCACGGAGUUAGCCGGUGCUUCUUCUGUGGGUAACGUCAAGACCAAAGGGUAUUAACCUCCGGCUUUUCUUCCCCACUGAAAGUGCUUUACAACCCGCAGGCCUUCUUCACACACGCGGCAUUGCUGGAUCAGGCUUUCGCCCAUUGUCCAAUAUUCCCCACUGCUGCCUCCCGUAGGAGUCUGGGCCGUGUCUCAGUCCCAGUGUGGCUGAUCAUCCUCUCAGACCAGCUACCGAUCGUCGCCUUGGUGGGCCGUUACCCCACCAACAAGCUAAUCGGACGCGGGCUCAUCCUGCAGCGAGAGCCCGAAGGCCCCCUUUCUCCCGUAAGACGUAUGCGGUAUUAGCCCGAGUUUCCUCGGGUUGUCCCCCACUGCAGGGCAGAUUCCCACGCGUUACUCACCCGUCCGCCACUCUACUCACCCCGAAGGGCUUUCGCGUUCGACUUGCAUGUGUUAGGCAUGCCGCCAGCGUUCAAUCUGAGCCAGGAUCAAACUCU